UAUUCUAAUAAUCUUUUUUAGGUAUUCCAUACAUUUUAUAUAGAUAGAUUGAAUUUUGAGUUACAAUUUGUAUACUUUAUUUAUGCACAGGUUCGAUCUAAUUUCUAAGUUGUAUUUUUUUCAAAUCACCUUCAUCACUGACUCAGUGAGAUUGAAUUUGCUCGUGUAGACCCGUCUGAGAUAAGAACUUCGUAGGGUAGGUUCUGACCAGUUCGAACUCAGAUUGCUCUCCUUGUAUGGAGAGGGCUUGCAAGGAUGUAUUGAGAUGGCAUUUCGAAAGAAAUUUGGAGUAUUUUGGCAGCACCUUUCGUUUGAAGAAUUAGGUGUCAGUUUGAACUAUUUAUAGCUAAACUAAUAAUUAUUAGAUAUUAAUUGUGUUAUUGGAGAGUGAACUGUCCAGUUCUGUAAUUUAAUGAUGUGACUUUGCCUAUUCGGUUCCUUUUAUCUUUUAACAUUCAAUCA